UAGCUAGUUGGUGAGGUAAAGGCUUACCAAGGCGACGAUCUGUAGCGGGUCUGAGAGGAUGAUCCGCCACACUGGAACUGAGACACGGUCCAGACUCCUACGGGAGGCAGCAGUGGGGAAUUUUGGACAAUGGGGGCAACCCUGAUCCAGCCAUGCCGCGUGAGUGAAGAAGGCCUUCGGGUUGUAAAGCUCUUUCGGCCGGGAAGAAAUCGCAUGGGCCAAUACCCUGUGUGGAUGACGGUACCGGAAUAAGAAGCACCGGCUAACUACGUGCCAGCAGCCGCGGUAAUACGUAGGGUGCGAGCGUUAAUCGGAAUUACUGGGCGUAAAGCGUGCGCAGGCGGUUUUGUAAGACAGGCGUGAAAUCCCCGGGCUUAACCUGGGAACUGCGUUUGUGACUGCAAGGCUAGAGUACGGCAGAGGGGGGUGGAAUUCCACGUGUAGCAGUGAAAUGCGUAGAGAUGUGGAGGAACACCAAUGGCGAAGGCAGCCCCCUGGGUCGAUACUGACGCUCAUGCACGAAAGCGUGGGUAGCAAACAGGAUUAGAUACCCUGGUAGUCCACGCCCUAAACUAUGUCAACUAGGUGUUGGGUGGGUAAAACCAUUUAGUACCGUAGCUAACGCGUGAAGUUGACCGCCUGGGGAGUACGGCCGCAAGGUUAAAACUCAAAGGAAUUGACGGGGACCCGCACAAGCGGUGGAUGAUGUGGAUUAAUUCGAUGCAACGCGAAAAACCUUACCUACCCUUGACAUGCCAGGAACUUGCCAGAGAUGGCUUGGUGCCCGAAAGGGAGCCUGGACACAGGUGCUGCAUGGCUGUCGUCAGCUCGUGUCGUGAGAUGUUGGGUCAAGUCCCGCAACGAGCGCAACCCUUGUCGUUAAUUGCCAUCAUUUGGUUGGGCACUUUAACGAGACUGCCGGUGACAAACCGGAGGAAGGUGGGGAUGACGUCAAGUCCUCAUGGCCCUUAUGGGUAGGGCUUCACACGUCAUACAAUGGUCGGUACAAAGGGUUGCCAAGCCGCGAGGCGGAGCCAAUCCCAGAAAGCCGAUCGUAGUCCGGAUUGCAGGCUGCAACUCGCCUGCAUGAAGUCGGAAUCGCUAGUAAUCGUGGAUCUGCAUGUCACGGUGAAUACGUUCCCGGGUCUUGUACACACCGCCCGUCACACCAUGGGAGCGGGUUCCGCCAGAAGUAGGUAGCCUAACCGCAAGGGGGGCGCUUACCACGGCGGGGUUCGUGACUGGGGUGAAGUCGGAACAAGGUAGCCGUAGGGGAACCUGCGGCUG
rnacentral:rRNA from 1 species